AUUGAACGCUGGCGGAAUGCUUUACACAUGCAAGUCGAACGGUAGAGGGGGCAACCCCUCGAGAGUGGCGAACGGGUGAGUAAUAUAUCGGAACGUGCCCAGUCGUGGGGGAUAACGUAGCGAAAGUUACGCUAAUACCGCAUACGAACUCAGGUUGAAAGCGGGGGAUCGCAAGACCUCGCGCGAUUGGAGCGGCCGAUGGCAGAUUAGGUAGUUGGUGGGGUAAAGGCCUACCAAGCCGACGAUCUGUAGCUGGUCUGAGAGGACGACCAGCCACACUGGGACUGAGACACGGCCCAGACUCCUACGGGAGGCAGCAGUGGGGAAUUUUGGACAAUGGGCGCAAGCCUGAUCCAGCCAUUCCGCGUGCAGGAUGAAGGCCCUCGGGUUGUAAACUGCUUUUGUACGGAACGAAACGGUCCUGGUUAAUACCCGGGGCUAAUGACGGUACCGUAAGAAUAAGCACCGGCUAACUACGUGCCAGCCGCCGCCGUAA
rnacentral:rRNA from 1 species